rnacentral:rRNA from 1 species
AGGGUUCGAGUUCUGGCUCAGGAUGAACGCUAGCUACAGGCUUAACACAUGCAAGUCGAGGGGUAGCAGGGUAGCAAUACCGCUGACGACCGGCGCACGGGUGAGUAACACGUAUCCAACCUUCCCAUAACUCAGGGAUAGCCUUUCGAAAGAAAGAUUAAUACCUGAUAGUACUUUUUCAAGGCAUCUUGAGAAGUUAAAGAUUUAUUGGUUGUGGAUGGGGAUGCGUUCCAUUAGAUAGUUGGUGAGGUAACGGCUCACCAAGUCUUCGAUGGAUAGGGGUUCUGAGAGGAAGGUCCCCCACAUUGGUACUGAGACACGGACCAAACUCCUACGGGAGGCAGCAGUGAGGAAUAUUGGUCAAUGGGCGAGAGCCUGAACCAGCCAAGUAGCGUGAAGGAAUGAAGGUCCUAUGGAUUGUAAACUUCUUUUAUAGUAGAAUAAAGUGAUCCACGUGUGGAUUUUUGUAUGUAUACUAUGAAUAAGGAUCGGCUAACUCCGUGCCAGCCGCCGC